GUUCUACAGCCCCGUCACUGUAAUCAGUUC
rnacentral:sRNA from 1 species